GCGAAAACUUUACAAUGCCGGCAACGGCGAUAAGGAAACCCCGAGUGCCAGCACAGGCUGGCUGUCCACCAGUGUAAACAACUGGUGAAGAAAGGGCCGGGCAAGACCGGUGCCAGCCGCCGCGGUAAUACCGGCGGCUCGAGUGGUGGCCGCUUUUACUGGGCUUAAAGGGUCCGUAGCUUGAUUCAUGGGUCCCUUGAGAAAUCUAUCGGCUUAACUGAUAGGCGUUCAGGGGAAACUGUGAUUCUAGGGACCGGGAGAGGUGAGAGGUACUGCCGGGGUAGGAGUGAAAUCCUGUAAUCCCGGUGGGACGACCUAUGGCGAAGGCAUCUCACCAGAACGGCUCCGACAGUGAGGGGCGAAAGCUGGGGGAGCAAACC
rnacentral:rRNA from 1 species